UGGCAAAUAAUAUUGGGAGAGUGCUCCUGAAGCAUGCAUCCCAGCUUUUAUACAAGACUGACUGCUUGCUGAAAAUGUGUGGCCUGAUUCUUUGUCCACCUUGUGUGAUCAUUACUACCUGUGCACAGGCUGGAGCUUUGAAAUGGAAGCAGAGAUCCCCGCAGUCUCCUGGGUUAGCCCUAAGAGACAUUCAGAACUGACAGAUUACUCCAACCACAGAUGGUCCAUGAAGAAGACUGGGGGGAAAAAGAAGAAUAAGGAAAGACCUGAAAGAAGAACUCACCUGCAAUCCACAGCCCAAGAUCAGAGCUGCUAGAAUCCUCUGCAGGACCAUGACGUGCAGCAACCAGAACCCGGAGAAGACUGCCCUAGCCUGGCCAAUGUCUGCCUGCGUGAUCAGGCUUGCUCAACAACUGAUCACAGGGACCAUCCUCCUUGGCCUGCAUGGAGAAUUCAAGAUCCUUAUUACUUCAAUUUAGGUUUCCCCACAAAGCAAACUGUCCAGUCAUGACUCUGAACAGCCUGCUGAACACAGCUAAGACUUUUGUGAAGAGAACCUAGCAGGGGUGAGCAUGCCAACAAUCUAAACUUUAGUGCUAUGGACUUGUCCUGGUGAAGCUUCAGAGGGUCCUUCAAAAAAAUAAAUAUAGAACUAGAUCUCCCUGUUCCCCCACAGAAAAAAGGUGACUGUGGUUUGAUUAGA